GGACCGCUAAUACCGCAUACGUUCCCUGGGACCUCGGUCCUGGGGGAGGAAAGGCCCGCAAGGGCCACUGGAUGAGGGGCCUGCGUAGCAUCAGCUAGUUGGUGGGGUAAUGGCCUACCAAGGCGAAGACGCUUAGCUGGUCUGAGAGGAUGAUCAGCCACACUGGGACUGAGACACGGCCCAGACUCCUACGGGAGGCAGCAGUGGGGAAUAUUGGACAAUGGGCGCAAGCCUGAUCCAGCCACGCCGCGUGAGUGAUGAAGGCCUUCGGGUCGUAAAGCUCUGUGGGGAGGGACGAACGGCGCCAUGAAGAGUGGCGAUUGACGGUACCUCCUUAGCAAGCACCGGCUAACUUCGUGCCAGCAGCCGCGGUAAUACGAAGGGUGCAAACGUUGCUCGGAAUCAUUGGGCGUAAAGCGCACGUAGGCGGCUUUCUAAGUCGGAUGUGAAAUCCCUCGGCUUAACCGAGGA
rnacentral:rRNA from 1 species